GAUGCGACCUCCCCUUUCUCCUUACUCACCAGUGAUGCGCCGUCACAUGAACCGCCGGGUCCCAUGACUUUACCAAACACAGAUGCGGUUCAGCUUUGUGGAUACAAAAAAACAGACGGAUCGCCUAUUUGUUCGUGUGACUGCAUCAACUGGAAAUGGUCGAAAUUUAGGGCGACUCGUGAGCUCAAGUUUAUGCAGCCCUUUUAAAAAUGGAGGCCAGUUCAGUCAGCUGUAUUGCUGGACAGAGGAGAAGUAGCUGGUUUAUAUUCUAUUCGCUGUUAUUGCUAAGUGAUGCUUAAAGGCAUCUUCCUGCGGGUCUGCUCCGACUCCCGUUUUCUGGAUUUAGGCUGUUAGGAAUACAUUUUAAUAACUAAUGACCUGCUAUUUAUUUCUUUAAAGAAAAUAUAGCUGGUCGGCGACCACGCAGCUACUUGCACAUCGAAGAGCUUUCGUCGCUCCCAGAAUUUUUAAACCAGCCAUGUCGAAUGAACACGCCCCCCUGCUAACCUACGGCCUCUUCAACAUGGUGGGGGAAACGGGGGCACCCGGGUCGGGCUCUGCCGACUCCGCACCCACAGCGGCCUCCACUCGCAGCCUGAACACCUUCUUUGGUGUGGUCGUGCCCACUGUUCUCUCCAUGUUCAGUAUUGUCCUCUUCCUCAGGACCGGAUUUGUUAUUGGUCAUGCCGGACUGCUGCAGGCCCUCAUCAUGCUGGGAGUGGCCUACGUCAUCAUCUCCUUGACGAUCCUGUCCAUCUGUGCUAUCUCCACCAAUGGUGCCGUCCAGGGGGGUGGGGCUUAUUUCAUGAUCAGCCGAUCGCUGGGCCCAGAGUUUGGUGGAAGCAUCGGGCUCAUGUUUUACCUGGCCAACGUGUGCGCAUGUGGGGUCUACGUGCUGGGCCUGGUUGAGGCCAUACUCGACGUCUUUGGGCAGGCUGAAGGCUCCUCACUGUCGGAGAGCAUGCAGGUGCUGCCACAGGGCUACUGGUACCGGGUCCUGUACGCCUCUGCAGUGCUGCUCCUCUGCCUGUUGGUCUGUCUGGUGGGCUCGCACAUCUACUCCCGUGCUGCUUUCCUCAUCCUCGUAGUGGUGACCAUUUCACUGCUGUCAAUUGUCAUCAGCCCCCUGGCGCUUGGGCCCCGCAGUUUCAUCAUCAGCCACCAGGGGGAGAGCAACAGCACGCUGGUGUACAAUGCCACCUACACGGGCUUCAGUCGGACCACGCUGAGGAAUAACUUGGGCACGGGAUACUCGCUGGAUUACAGCACCAACACCGUCAUGACGUUCGCCACUGUGUUCGCCGUCAUGUUUAAUGGCUGCACAGGCAUCAUGGCCGGGGCUAACAUGUCAGGAGAGCUGAAGAAUCCCAGUGAGUCCAUCCCUAAAGGGACCAUCAUCGCGGUGCUCUACACCUUCUUCAUCUACCUGCUCCUCUUUGUGCUCAUCAGCUCCACCUGUGACAGGGUUCUCUUGAUUCAGGACUAUGGCUUCUUCCAGCGGAUCAACAUCUGGCCGCCCUUCGUCACCAUCGGCGUCUACUGCACCUCCCUGUCAGCCGCCAUGAGUUCCCUCAUUGGGGCGUCUCGCAUCUUACAUGCCCUCGCUCUGGACCAGUUAUUUGGGCUGCCCCUGGCUCCGGCCACCAUCACCUCCACUUCGGGGAAUCCUUGGAUGUCGGUGGUGUACACCUGGGCCCUCGUACAGUGCGUGGUCUUUGCUGGCCAGCUGAACUCCAUCACCAGCCUGGUCACCGUGUUCUACCUGCUGGCCUAUGCCGCAGUGGACCUGGCUUGUCUGGCCUUGGAGUGGGCGUCUGCCCCCAACUUCAGGCCUACCUUCCAGUUCUUCUCCUGGCACACCUGCCUGCUCGGCAUCAUGGGAUGUGUGGUGAUGAUGUUUGUGAUCAACCCUGUCUACUCCUCAGCCAGCAUCGCCCUCCUGCUUCUGCUGCUCGUCUUCAUCCACUACAGAGCCCCCACCAGCAGCUGGGGUUACAUCAGCCAGGCGCUCAUCUUCCACCAGGUGCGUAAGUACCUACUGAUGCUGGAUGUGCGGAAGGACCACGUGAAGUUCUGGAGGCCGCAGGUGCUGCUGAUGGUGGCCAACCCGCGCUCAUCCUGCCAGCUCAUCACCUUUGUGAACCAGCUGAAGAAGGGUGGCCUGUUUGUGUUGGGCCACGUCCAGCUGGGAGACCUGGACACUCUGCCGUCAGACCCAAUCCAGCCCCAGUAUAACUUCUGGCUGAGUCUGGUUGACAAGCUGGGGGUGAAGGCCUUUGUGGACCUGACUCUGUCUGUGUCAGUCCGGCAGGGAACACAGCACCUGCUUAGGAUCACGGGACUGGGGGGCAUGAAGCCCAACACGCUUGUCCUGGGUUUCUAUGACAACUGCGUGCCGGACGACUACUUCCUGCAGGACCCAGCUUUCUGUGAGGGGGUUGCGGGACCCGGCGGCAGCAGGGGGGACAACUUUGGGGUGGACUUGCCAUCCCUCCAAGCCCACUUCCCUCCUGUCCGCAGCUCGGAGUCUCCCCGCUGGCUGUCCCCGGAGGAGUAUGUGGGCAUCAUCUCUGACGCCAUCAAGAUGGGGAAGAAUGUGUGCCUGGGUCGCUGCUUCUUCCAGCUGGAGGGAGGCCGGACCGGGGCGUCGCCGACCGCCUCUGGGGCAGAGAGGACCAUUGACGUGUGGCCCCUGAACCUGCUGAGGCCCGAGAACAGCGGCUAUGUGGACGUCUGCAGCCUCUUUCUGCUCCAGAUGGCCUGCGUGCUCAACAUGGCCAGCGGGUGGCGCCGUGCGCGGCUCCGCAUCUUCCUGUGCGUGGAGGCGGAGUCAGGUGACCAGGGCUGGAUGGCCAAGGAGGAGACCCUGCGCGACUUGCUGGGAAAGCUGCGCAUCCGCGCUUCCAUCAAGAUCGUGGGCUGGGACGCUGUGGUGAGGCAGUACAGGCCGGGUGGAGGUGCUGGGGUUAUGUACCUAACUAUGGCCUGGUAACCUGCCCAGGAUGUGCCCCGCCUCUCGCCCGAUGAUGCUGGGAUUGGCUCCAACUUCCCCGUGGAUAAAACGUUGCUGGUUGAUGCCGAUGGUUCCAGGAACGGAUCAGUCUUCCCUCGAUUGUGUUUCUGGGAGCAGAGCGACACCGUUCUGACAGAUAUCGGGGGGGGGGGGGUUUGCCCUCAGGACCUGCCCCCCCCCCCCGUGAUGGGACUUAGCUGAUGGAUAAAGAGACAAAGUUGGAUCAGCAGAAGGAAAAGACUGAGGAGGGAGAUAGAAGUGGCAGUGGAGAGGUAGCGGUUACAUUGUUUUUGUCCCCCCUCCCUCUCUCUCAGGGGGAUGAAGGAUGGAGAGGGGGCACGAGGAAAGCGUCUUUUUUUCGUCUGUCUGACAGCCUGUCCUCAUCCCCCUUUUCUUUGGCCCAUCAAUUGAAGAGGGAGAAGCGUGGAGGCUCUUCAGCUGGAGAGCGUGUGUGGAGUGGCCCAAGUGUGUGUGUGUGUGUGUGUGUGUGCGUGUGUGCGUGCAAAUGUGUUAGCAAGUCAGACAAACAGACACCAUAGGAAUGUUCCAACAAAAACAAUUGCCCUUUUUCCAACUGAUUUCCUUUAAAAUAUUUAUUUGUUAAAUUAUUAUUUAUCUUAUUGUUAAUUUGUGCUUACUUUAGCCAAUGGGAAGAGAAAUGUUGAGUAGAUCAUACUCAAGAGAGUAUGAAGAAGAACAGAGAAGAAAUCUGUGAAAUCAAUAUAUGUUUUUAUAAUUUAUUAACAACAAAAUUAAUGUUCUGACAAUUUUUAUGCUUUAUGUGAACUGUAAAAUCCAUCAUUUGCUCUCAGGGUUUGUCAAAAAUCAUAUGUUAAGUGUUAGCUAUGUUGCUGCUGUUUUUUGUGUGGUGAAAUGCUGAACAUUCGCCUGAAAGUGAAUUGCGGUGACUGUCAUUAAUCAAAGUAUUUUAUGCUACCAGGCAUGACAGUGAGGUGAUGGAGCAGCUGUCAGGGAGAAUACUGACAUUUUCACAAGAAGAAAACAGGGAAAUGGUGAGGAGACAAGGGGAAGCUGGAGGAGAAGCUGAGGAUUCACUGGAAGAUUAAAUCCCUGUUUGACGGACAGCAUCCACCUUCCAAAUCCGCUCUCUCCCACACUCUGACUCUCAUCAGAGACAGCGCCCCCCCCGCUUUCUCUGUCUCUUCUUAACUCCCCCAAUGGCACUUCAGAGUUUAAGAGGCAGAUUGUUUCUAGAAACAAAAUCCUAAAAGUAUCCCACUCGUUUGCAUAGUCUUACAGACUCCAAUGAAACUAAUUAGUUUUGUCAACUGCCAGCUUUUACACAGAAAUGAAAUAGGGUCCAAUUUGUCCACUUUGCAAGACAAGUUUUCAUUCUUUUAUCUAUUAUUAAAAGUCAUUAAAUAAUCUCAAUAUACACAAUAAUAUACAUGAUUCCUAACCCUGGUGCUGAAAUUCAGUGUACCUGAGUUCUUAAGGACUAGGAUGUUAAUUUCAACCAAUAAGCUAAUUUAACCAAUUUAUCAUUUCUUGGGACUGAGGUCAGACUUUCAAAAAGUGCUUGAAUGCACUCUUUCCUUCUAAAAAUAGCAAAGCAUGUGGUAAAGUGAUAUUAAAGUGUAUUUUUCUAGAAUUUUCCUUUUUCUAACCUGCGUGGCUAACACAUUAAUUAAAAAAAAAAUCAUAUGUAGUUGGGCCAGUUUUAGACAGUGUGUAUUACAGGGUUGUUUUGCAGCUCAGAGUCUGUAAAUAUCUGGAAACCUCGUGUAGAGUCCCCGUAGCUGAUGCAGGAUUCGUAGUGGCUAAAAUGGAUGCUGUUCACAGCAUUUUGUUCUCUUCAACUCCCCGUCAGCGAAGAAUAAUCAGAAAAACGUCAAAGACUUUGAAUUCUCAUUCUUAAGGCUGUGAGACUUCCACGGGUCUAACUGCAUUGAAUUUAAAAAAAAAAAAAUUUCAUUGAUAAA